rnacentral:rRNA from 1 species
UGGGGAAUAUUGGACAAUGGGCGAAAGCCUGAUCCAGCAAUGCCGCGUGAGUGAUGAAGGCCUUAGGGUUGUAAAGCUCUUUUACCCGGGAUGAUAAUGACAGUACCGGGAGAAUAAGCUCCGGCUAACUCCGUGCCAGCAGCCGCGGUAAUACGGAGGGAGCUAGCGUUAUUCGGAAUUACUGGGCGUAAAGCGCACGUAGGCGGCUUUGUAAGUUAGAGGUGAAAGCCUGGAGCUCAACUCCAGAAUUGCCUUUAAGACUGCAUCGCUUGAAUCCAGGAGAGGUGAGUGGAAUUCCGAGUGUAGAGGUGAAAUUCGUAGAUAUUCGGAAGAACACCAGUGGCGAAGGCGGCUCACUGGACUGGUAUUGACGCUGAGGUGCGAAGCGUGGGGAGCAAACAGGAUUAGAUACCCUGGUAGUCCACGCCGUAAACGAUGAUAACUAGCUGUC